rnacentral:rRNA from 1 species
AGGUGCUGACGAGUGGCGAACGGGUGAGUAAUGCAUCGGAACGUGCCCAGUCGUGGGGGAUAACUGCUCGAAAGAGCAGCUAAUACCGCAUACGAUCUAUGGAUGAAAGCGGGGGACCGUAAGGCCUCGCGCGAUUGGAGCGGCCGAUGUCGGAUUAGGUAGUUGGUGGGGUAAAGGCUCACCAAGCCAACGAUCUGUAGCUGGUCUGAGAGGACGACCAGCCACACUGGGACUGAGACACGGCCCAGACUCCUACGGGAGGCAGCAGUGGGGAAUUUUGGACAAUGGGGGCAACCCUGAUCCAGCAAUGCCGCGUGCAGGAAGAAGGCCUUCGGGUUGUAAACUGCUUUUGUACGGAACGAAACGGUCUGGGUUAAUACCCUGGGCUAAUGACGGUACCGUAAGAAUACGCACCGGCUAACUACGUGCCAGCAGCCGCGGUAAUACGUAGGGUGCGAGCGUUAAUCGGAAUUACUGGGCGUAAAGCGUGCGCAGGCGGUUUUGUAAGACAGGCGUGAAAUCCCCGGGCUCAACCUGGGAAUGGCGCUUGUGACUGCAAAGCUGGAGUGCGGCAGAGGGGGAUGGAAUUCCGCGUGUAGCAGUGAAAUGCGUAGAUAUGC